GGGUUGUGAGGUUAAGCGAACAAGCGUACACGGUGGAUGCCCUGGCAGUCAGAGGCGAUGAAGGACGUGCUAAUCUGCGAAAAGCGCCGGUAAGGUGAUAUGAACCGUUAUAACCGGCGAUGUCCGAAUGGGGAAACCCGGUGCACUUCGGUGCAUCAUCGUUAGCUGAAUACAUAGGCUAACGAGGCGAACCGGGGGAACUGAAACAUCUAAGUACCCCGAGGAAAAGAAAUCAACCGAGAUUCCCCCAGUAGCGGCGAGCGAACGGGGAACAGCCCAGAGCCUGAAUCAGCUUGUGUGUCAGUGGAACGGUCUGGAAAGGCCGGCGAUACAGGGUGACAGCCCCGUACACGAAGGCACACAGGCUGUGAGCUCGAUGAGUAGGGCGGGACACGUGAUAUCCUGUCUGAAGAUGGGGGGACCAUCCUCCAAGGCUAAAUACUCCUGACUGACCGAUAGUGAACCAGUACCGUGAGGGAAAGGCGAAAAGAACCCCGGCGAGGGGAGUGAAACAGAACCUGAAACCGUGUACGUACAAGCAGUGGGAGCCUUCGUAAGAGGGUGACUGCGUACCUUUUGUAUAAUGGGUCAGCGACUUAUAUUCUGUAGCAAGGUUAACCGUAUAGGGGAGCCGAAGGGAAACCGAGUCUUAACCGGGCGUUAAGUUGCAGGGUAUAGACCCGAAACCCGGUGAUCUAGCCAUGGGCAGGUUGAAGGUUGGGUAACACUAACUGGAGGACCGAACCGACUAAUGUUGAAAAAUUAGCGGAUGACCUGUGGCUGGGGGUGAAAGGCCAAUCAAACCGGGAGAUAGCUGGUUCUCCCCGAAAGCUAUUUAGGUAGCGCCUCGUGAACUCAUCUCCGGGGGUAGAGCACUGUUUCGGCUAGGGGGCCAUCCCGGCUUACCAACCCGAUGCAAACUGCGAAUACCGGAGAAUGUUAUCACGGGAGACACACGGCGGGUGCUAACGUCCGUCGUGAAGAGGGAAACAACCCAGACCGCCAGCUAAGGUCCCAAAGUCAUGGUUAAGUGGGAAACGAUGUGGGAAGGCCCAGACAGCCAGGAUGUUGGCUUAGAAGCAGCCAUCAUUUAAAGAAAGCGUAAUAGCUCACUGGUCGAGUCGGCCUGCGCGGAAGAUGUAACGGGGCUAAACCAUGCACCGAAGCUGCGGCAGCGACACUAUGUGUUGUUGGGUAGGGGAGCGUUCUGUAAGCCUGUGAAGGUGUGCUGUGAGGCAUGCUGGAGGUAUCAGAAGUGCGAAUGCUGACAUAAGUAACGAUAAAGCGGGUGAAAAGCCCGCUCGCCGGAAGACCAAGGGUUCCUGUCCAACGUUAAUCGGGGCAGGGUGAGUCGACCCCUAAGGCGAGGCCGAAAGGCGUAGUCGAUGGGAAACAGGUUAAUAUUCCUGUACUUGGUGUUACUGCGAAGGGGGGACGGAGAAGGCUAUGUCGGCCGGGCGACGGUUGUCCCGGUUUAAGCGUGUAGGCUGACUUUCCAGGCAAAUCCGGAAGGUUAAGGCUGAGGCGUGAUGACGAGGCACCACGGUGCUGAAGUGACAAAUGCCCUGCUUCCAGGAAAAGCCUCUAAGCAUCAGGUAACAUCAAAUCGUACCCCAAACCGACACAGGUGGUCAGGUAGAGAAUACCAAGGCGCUUGAGAGAACUCGGGUGAAGGAACUAGGCAAAAUGGUGCCGUAACUUCGGGAGAAGGCACGCUGACAUGUAGGUGAAGCCCCUGCGGGUGGAGCUGAAGUCAGUCGAAGAUACCAGCUGGCUGCAACUGUUUAUUAAAAACACAGCACUGUGCAAACACGAAAGUGGACGUAUACGGUGUGACGCCUGCCCGGUGCCGGAAGGUUAAUUGAUGGGGUUAUCGCAAGAGAAGCUCCUGAUCGAAGCCCCGGUAAACGGCGGCCGUAACUAUAACGGUCCUAAGGUAGCGAAAUUCCUUGUCGGGUAAGUUCCGACCUGCACGAAUGGCGUAAUGAUGGCCAGGCUGUCUCCACCCGAGACUCAGUGAAAUUGAACUCGCUGUGAAGAUGCAGUGUACCCGCGGCAAGACGGAAAGACCCCGUGAACCUUUACUACAGCUUGACACUGAACAUUGAGCCUUGAUGUGUAGGAUAGGUGGGAGGCUUUGAAGCGUGGACGCCAGUCUGCGUGGAGCCGACCUUGAAAUACCACCCUUUAAUGUUUGAUGUUCUAACCUGGCGCCGUGAUCCGGCGUGGGGACAGUGUCUGGUGGGUAGUUUGACUGGGGCGGUCUCCUCCCAAAGUGUAACGGAGGAGCACGAAGGUCAGCUAAUCCUGGUCGGACAUCAGGAGGUUAGUGCAAUGGCAUAAGCUGGCUUGACUGCGAGAGUGACGGCUCGAGCAGGUGCGAAAGCAGGUCAUAGUGAUCCGGUGGUUCUGUAUGGAAGGGCCAUCGCUCAACGGAUAAAAGGUACUCCGGGGAUAACAGGCUGAUACCGCCCAAGAGUUCAUAUCGACGGCGGUGUUUGGCACCUCGAUGUCGGCUCAUCACAUCCUGGGGCUGAAGUAGGUCCCAAGGGUAUGGCUGUUCGCCAUUUAAAGUGGUACGCGAGCUGGGUUUAGAACGUCGUGAGACAGUUCGGUCCCUAUCUGCCGUGGGCGCUGGAGAAUUGAGGGGGGCUGCUCCCAGUACGAGAGGACCGGAGUGGACGCAUCACUGGUGUUCGGGUUGUCAUGCCAAUGGCACUGCCCGGUAGCUAAAUGCGGAAGAGAUAAGUGCUGAAAGCAUCUAAGCACGAAACUUGCCCCGAGAUGAGUUCUCCCUGAGACUGUAAGUCUCCUGAAGGAACGUUGAAGACGACGACGUUGAUAGGCCGG
rnacentral:rRNA from 1 species